rnacentral:rRNA from 1 species
CCUGCCCUGGACUCUGGGAUAAGCGCUGGAAACGGUGUCUAAUACUGGAUAUGAGCUCUCAUCGCAUGGUGGGGGUUGGAAAGAUUUUUUGGUCUGGGAUGGGCUCGCGGCCUAUCAGCUUGUUGGUGAGGUAAUGGCUCACCAAGGCGUCGACGGGUAGCCGGCCUGAGAGGGUGACCGGUCACACUGGGACUGAGACACGGCCCAGACUCCUACGGGAGGCAGCAGUGGGGAAUAUUGCACAAUGGGCGGAAGCCUGAUGCAGCAACGCCGCGUGAGGGAUGACGGCCUUCGGGUUGUAAACCUCUUUUAGCAGGGAAGAAGCGUGAGUGACGGUACCUGCAGAAAAAGCGCCGGCUAACUACGUGCCAGCAGCCGCGGUAAUACGUAGGGCGCAAGCGUUAUCCGGAAUUAUUGGGCGUAAAGAGCUCGUAGGCGGUUUGUCGCGUCUGCUGUGAAAUCCCGAGGCUCAACCUCGGGUCUGCAGUGGGUACGGGCAGACUAGAGUGCGGUAGGGGAGAUUGGAAUUCCUGGUGUAGCGGUGGAAUGCGCAGAUAUCAGGAGGAACACCGAUGGCGAAGGCAGAUCUCUGGGCCGUAACUGACGCUGAGGAGCGAAAGGGUGGGGAGCAAACAGGCUUAGAUACCCUGGUAGUCCACCCCGUAAA